CCUACGGGGGGCAGCAGUGAGGAAUAUUGGUCAAUGGGCGCUACCCUGAACCAGCCAAGUAGCGUGAAGGAUGACUGCCCUAUGGGUUGUAAACUUCUUUUAUAUGGGAAUAAAGUGCAGUAUGUAUACUGCUUUGCAUGUACCUUAUGAAUAAGGAUCGGCUAACUCCGUGCCAGCAGCCGCGGUAAUACGGAGGAUCCGAGCGUUAUCCGGAUUUAUUGGGUUUAAAGGGAGCGUAGGCGGGUUGUUAAGUCAGUUGUGAAAGUUUGCGGCUCAACCGUAAAAUUGCAGUUGAUACUGGCAGCCUUGAGUACAGUAGAGGUAGGCGGAAUUCGUGGUGUAGCGGUGAAAUGCUUAGAUAUCACGAAGAACUCCGAUUGCGAAGGCAGCCUGCUGGACUGUAACUGACGCUGAUGCUCGAAAGUGUGGGUAUCAAACAGGAUUAGAUACCCCAGUAGUC
rnacentral:rRNA from 1 species